rnacentral:rRNA from 1 species
AUUGAACGCUGGCGGCAGGCCUAACACAUGCAAGUCGAACGGUAACAGGAAGAAGCUUGCUUCUUUGCUGACGAGUGGCGGACGGGUGAGUAAUGUCUGGGAAACUGCCUGAUGGAGGGGGAUAACUACUGGAAACGGUAGCUAAUACCGCAUAACGUCGCAAGACCAAAGAGGGGGACCUUCGGGCCUCUUGCCGUCGGAUGUGCCCAGAUGGGAUUAGCUAGUAGGUGGGGUAACGGCUCACCUAGGCGACGAUCCCUAGCUGGUCUGAGAGGAUGACCAGCCACACUGGAACUGAGACACGGUCCAGACUCCUACGGGAGGCAGCAGUGGGGAAUAUUGCACAAUGGGCGCAAGCCUGAUGCAGCCAUGCCGCGUGUAUGAAGAAGGCCUUCGGGUUGUAAAGUACUUUCAGCGGGGAGGAAGGGAGUAAAGUUAAUACCUUUGCUCAUUGACGUUACCCGCAGAAGAAGCACCGGCUAACUCCGU